rnacentral:lncRNA from 1 species
CUGAAAAGUGAAAUUUGAACAGUCACGUUAUACCACAGUAAUUCACAGACCACAGCUGGAGAGCACAGUGGGCAUAACAUUGAUAGAUAAGAAUUUGACCCCUCUCCCUCUCCCUCUCCCCGUCUCCCUCUCCCUCUCCCUCUCCCCGUCUCCCUCUCCCUCUCAUGCCGAGCCAAAGCUGGACGGUACUGCUGCCAUCUCGGCUCACUGCAACCUCCCUGCCUGAUUCUCCUGCCUCAGCCUGCCGAGUGCCUGCGAUUGCAGGCGCGCGCCGCCACGCCUGACUGGUUUUCGUUUUUUUUUUGGUGGAGAUGGGGUUUCGCUGUGUUGGCCGGGCUGGUCUCCAGCUCCUAACCGCGAGUGAUCCGCCAGCCUCGGCCUCCCGAGGUGCCGGGAUUGCAGAUGGAGUCUCGUUCACUCAGUGCUCAAUGGUGCCCAGGCUGGAGUGCAGUGGCGUGAUCUCGGCUUGCUACAACCACCUCCCAGCCGCCUGCCUUGGCCUCCCAAAGAGCCGAGAUUGCAGCCUCUGCCCGGCCGCCACGCCGUCUGGGAAGUGAGGAGCGUCUCUGCUUGGCCACCCAUCGUCUGGGAUAUGAGGAGCCCCUCUGCCUGGCUGCCCAGUGUGGAAAGUGAGGAGCGUCUCUGCCCGGCCGCCAUCCCAUCUAGGAAGCGAGAAGCGCCUCUUCCCCGCCGCCAUCCCAUCUAGGAAGUGAGGAGCGUCUCUGCCCGGCCGCCCAUCGUCUGAGAUGUGGGGAGCACCUCUGCCCCACCGCCCUGUCUGGGAUGUGAGGAGCGCCUCUGCUGGGCCGCAACCCUGUCUGGGAGGUGAGGAGUGUCUCUGCCCGGCCGCUCCGUCUGAGAAGUGAGGAAACCCUCUGCCUGGCAACCGCCCCGUCUGAGAAGUGAGGAGCCCCUCCGUCUGGCAACCACCCCGUCUGGGAAGUGAGGAGCGUCUCCGCCCGGCAGCCACCCCGUCCGGGAGGGAGGUGGGGGGGGUCAGCCCCCCGCCCGGCCAGCCGCCCCGUCCGGGAGGUGAGGGGCUCCUCUGCCCGGCCGCCCCUACUGGGAAGUGAGGAGCCCCUCUGCCCGGCCAGCCGCCCCGUCCGGGAGGGAGGCGGGGGGGGGUGGUCGGCCAUCCGCCCCGUCCGGGAGGUGAGGGGCGCCUCUGCCCGGCCGCCCCUACUGGGAAGUGAGGAGCCCCUCUGCCCGGCCAGUCGCCCCGUCCAGGAGGGAGGUGGGGGUUCAACCCCCCGCCCGGCCAGCCGCCCAGUCCGGGAGGGAGGUGGGGGGUCAGCCCCCCGCCUGGCCAGCCGCCCCGUCCAGGAGGUGAGGGGCGCCUCUGCCCGGCCGCCCCUACUGGGAAGUGAGGAGCCCCUCUGCCCGGCCAGCCGCCCCGCCCAGGAGGGAGGUGGGGGGGUCAGCCCCCCGCCCGGCCAGCCGCCCCGUCCGGGAGGGGGGAGGGGGGGUCAGCCCCCUGCCCGGCCAGCCGCCCCGUCCGGGAGGGAGGUGGGGGGGGUCAGCCCCCCGCCCGGCCAGCCGCCCCGUCCGGGAGGGAGGUGGGGGGAUCAGCCCCCUGCCUGGCCAGCCGCCCCGUCCGGGAGGUGAGGGGCGCCUCUGCCCGGCCGCCCCUACUGGGAAGUGAGGAGCCCCUCUGCCCGGCCAGCCGCCCCGUCCGGGAGGGAGGUGGGGGGGUCAGCCCCCCUUCCGGCCGGCUGCCCCGUCCGGGAGGUGAGGGGCGCCUCUGCCGGGCCGCCCCUACUGGGAAGUGAGGACCCCUCUGCCCGGCCAGCCGCCCCAUCCGGGAGGGAGGUGGGGGGAACAGCCCCCCGCCCGGCCAGCCGCCCUAUCCAGGAGGUGAGGGGCGCCUCUGCCCGGCCGCCCCUACUGGGAAGUGAGGAGCCCCUCUGCCUGGCCAGCCGCCCCGUCCGGGAGGGCGGUGGGGGGGUCAGCCCCCCGCCCGGCCAGCCGCCCCAUCUGGGAGGUGAGGGGCGCUUCUGCCGGGCCGCCCCUACUGGGAAGUGAGGAGCCCCUCUGCCCGGCCACGACCCCGUCUGGGAGGUGUGCCCAGCGGCUCA